GGAGGAGGAGGAGGAGGGUUUGACGGCUCCGCAUCAGCAAAAUGGCUGCUGAUCACGGAGAUUUACAACAAAUCGCCUCUAGAUUCAAUUUGGCGUCACCUUGCUGAGGGAGGAGGCAGAGCGACCUCCGCGUCACCGUUAGAAAACACCUGACCCAAGAACGCGCAUAACCACACGCUGAAAAUGACUCGAAAGGGGAGCUUCUCAGCAGGAAAGGCGUUAAAAUGCAGCAGUCUGACAAAGACCAAAAAUAGCUUUGCAGCAAAUGUUGUCUCCGUGUGUUGACUUCCAAAAGAUGACUCCAGUCAUCAGCUCACCACAGAACAAACCCUACAAUGAACUACUAUUUUCAUCCCCACUGACAACCAUGAGCGGAUCCACUUCCUCCAAAGCUGCCUCAGAAUCAUUUGAUCCUCAUAGUUUAUUGAUCUCUCCUUAUUUUCAGCCUCCUCUGCUCCGCGUGGCCAACGGCACACGUGCAAACAGCACUGAGUGGGCGGGACUACGACCGCAGGGGUCUCCCCAUUGGUCGGCCUUUGUCGCAGCACGUCUGGUUGUACGCUGACCUUUCUCCUCCAAAUGUUUCCUGACAUAAAACACAGAGAGAGUGACACUGACGAGGCAUGUCGUCCAUGUACAUUGUGAGAAAAUUACACACUUGACCACAAGAAAGCGGCAUUCGUACAUUUGCGUUCCACGGUGCAAAGUUAGCCAGAAAAUGUUACACUUUAUUUACUCCCAUUUUCAGAUAUGGAAGGCCGAUUGUAGCGAGAACGUGAUUAACCGCACGUGCGCUGAGACGUUGUGUCAGACUAUGAGCUGAAAUGCAUCUUCUCACAUCGACACGUUUCCCGUCAGGGCAGGUUUUGUGUCUCGGCAGCGCACUGCAGUGUGAGGACGGCCGCACAGCCGUGAUCCAUGCGGGGCUUCACAUUUACACAGCCGGAAUUAUGAGGUCUGACAUCGCGCCUGCACGGUGGACGGAGCUGUGGCGCCCUCUGCUGGUCUCAAUGAGACAAGAGCAAACACCAUCAGCCUAAAGAAGUUGCCGGUGUUCAUGGGUGGAUGAGGCGGACUCGCACCGUCCUCCCCCGUCCGUCGCGCGGCAGCGGGCCAAGCGGGACGUCUUGAGACACGCCGGACUGCAGCACCACACCCUGUGGUUUCUCCUCCCCGACCCCACCUUACCCUCUCCGGGCGCCGCUGCAGUGGCCAUGAACCGCCAGUGGACGGCGCUUUGGCACCAGACAAGAGGAGACGCAGCUGGAUUUGUCCUCCAGCUGCUGGAAUGUCAGACCGUUGCUCGGGGAGACGGUGUAGCGGUAAAAAGGACAGCCUCACACGCACUACAUACUCACAGGACGUCUGCUGCUAAAGCGCUGACCGGCCGGUCCUGUAUUAUUAAAAUGUGCGGCAGUGGUGGCCGGUAAAAAUGACUGACCUUAUUUCGGCUGAUAUCAAUAAGUAAAACAUGGACGUUCAGCAGUUAAAUGGAAUUGUAUCAAUAUAUGUAGCAUUUAUUAAGUCA